CGUGAUUGGCUGUUGAGUCGACCUGCGCGGCGAGGAGCAACGGAACGUUAUUUUGACCCUGGUAUUCGCAAAGUACUGGUGUACAAGUGUAUUGUUAGUGAAUGAGGUAAUGGUGGUAAUAUGAUGCCUCGCAUGAAAUUGGCCUAGUGGUGAUGUAUGAAUCUUGGAGACUAACGUUGUGAUGGGAGCAGUGGUGGAGCGAUGAUUUACGUGAGACCUCUGGCAGCCGAGCAGAAGCUGGUGGCAGAUGGUUUGGUUAGGAAGAUGUGCUACUGAUAGCUGGAUCAUAUGUGGUAAUACCGGAUAGAUUUGUGGGACCCCUUGGCUGUGGAAGAGCACAGCGAGACGCGUCAACUUAAGUGUUAGUGAAGAAGAGUUUGCAGUGGCGUAUAUAGCCUGUUGGAUGCAUAAGUGGACGAGCCUUGACUGUGUUGAAGAGAGAAUUGGAUAAGCACGUGGCAAGGAUACCUGAUGAAGCAGGCUGUGACUGAUAGGUCAGGCUGCGAGGAGCCGCGUCCAAGAGCGUGGUUGACGAGUCCGGCAACCAGAAGGCUUGGUGGACGAGCGGGCCGGGGGAACGCUAAGGGCCGGAAGGACCUCAAGAUUUGCGAGAAGAUGGUAAUAAUGGUGGUUGAUUGGUAGAGGGACCGCAGGCCAGCGGAGUGUGACGUCGAACUGAAGGAGAGUGUGAUGUGCAAGAAAUAAUAUUGUUGAAGACAAGGAUGAUGCGACGCAUAUGAAGAGAAAGGCGUAUAUAAUUGCAAAGAUACGAAGAAGGGACAAUAGAAUGUUUUAUGGUGACCAAAAAUAUUCGAGUAAUGAAGAUGGAUUGGAAUCGAAACUGUUGUUUAAAUAUCAUUUGUUACGUGUAAGGGGAAAGUGUUAAGGAGAGAUGAUAAUGUAGUGAUAUUUUGGUAUAAUAUUUAGUAGACUGUUUAAUGAAGUUAAGUAUUAUAUGUUGAAAGAGUGUGCACAAUGUUUGUUUUGAAAGAAAUGUUGGGUGAAGUUGUUGAAAAUGUGUGAAGAGAAUGUUAUGGAAGGUGUAUAGUAAAUAUGUUGUGGGAGUUAAUAAUUAGUGUAUUAAAUGACGUAAAUGUAUACAUUAUAAAAUGAAUGAAUUGUUUGAUGGUUAUAAUUGAAUGUAAAGUAAAAUAAUAAUAAGUGAUUAAGAACAGUGUUUAAAUGACGUAAUUAUGAAAGUUGUAAAGAGACGAAUGUUUUAGGUACUGAGAAGAAAAAGUAGCAGUUUUUGCUGUGUAUGGAGAUUGCCUAUGUGGGGGGUUGUUUUUAGGCAUUAUGUGUGAGUGUGAAAGUCGAGAUGGAUGUUGUGGGUGUUAAUUGUUGUUUUUACGUUGGUUAUUGUUAUGGAGGUUGUUUGAUUAGUGUAGAGUUGUGUUGUUUGUAUUUUAUUAUGUUGAGUUUGUAUGUUUGAUGUCAUGUGAGUUUUGUUGACAUUACGUCCAGGAUGAAGUGUUUGAGCCGUUUGUGUGGUAUUUAAGCAGCAGGGGUUGAGUUGAUAGUGUGAAAAUGUAGAUUGAGGAUAUGUAGAAUAGAAAAUGAUCAUGUAAGAGGAAUGUAUGGUAAUGUAUAUAAAGUAAAAUAAAUGUGAAAUUAGGAAUUUUAUAGAAUGUUAAAAUAAUUUGUAAUGAAAGGCAGAAAUGAUAGUUGAUUAUAGGAAAUUGAUGUUGAAAAGUUAAUGUUUUAAAGGUGUGUGUGUAAAUUGCCAAUGAUGAGAUUGAACUGAUGUAAAUGUGUAUUAUAGUUUUGAAAUGUAAUUAUGACAGGUAGUGAAAGAGAUUAAUAUGGAGGAAUGAUUUUAGGAGAAAUAUAUGGACGUAGGUUAUAUGUUAAUAGUAGUGUAAAUAUAGUAACUUUGAUAAUGUGUUUAUAUAUGAUAGGUAUAGAUAUAUAUAAAAGCAUAAAUACAUAGGUGAAAGUAAAACUAUAUAUACCGAAAUAGCAUAAAAAGAAGGAAAUAUAGUAAAAAUAUGGAAGAUGUAGUGUAGAAGAUGUAUAUUGAUAGGAAAGGUAUGCUAUGGUAGGAUGUCAAUGUUUUGGAUACAUAGGGUGCGUGAAGGAAAUGAAACGUAGUUUGUUGUAAGCGUGCUCUGCAGCCAACGUUGUUAGUGUGAUAGUUAAGCCGGCGAUGUUAUUCAGGUAUUAUAUUGAUAAUGGUCAUAUAAAUAUGCGGCCUUGCAGGCGUCGGCUUUAUGGAUACGUGUUACAAAUACGGAUCCGUAGCGUUCCUGGUGUCCAUUUCAGUUUAGAUCCCGAGAUCUUAAAGCUGUGUUACUGGUGCUCGCAGAUGCUCAUUGACACUAAACUGAUUCACGGCUCUUAAGGCAGUUUGUUAGGGUUACUAUUGAGCUGUAACAUGUUUCGGAGGGCAACAUACACUGGAGAUCACUGUAACGGACUCAGUUACCAUCCUUAUAAUUUGUCAAUCCGGACGCAAGCAUGUUGGGCGUUAAGACGUGUUUAUUAUAUUUGAAAUAUUGUUUGAUUUGUAUAUUGAUUUGAUAAUAUAUACAUAGUGGUCAUAAAAAUCAUUGUUUGGUUGUUUUAUAUUAUUAAUUUAUUGGAAUAGUUGGAAAUGAAUUAUUGCUUGCUAGAUCCUUCCCCCUGGAAUAACUUGUGGGCUUGACUCAGAUACGGUAACUGUUCCUCCCCCCCCCCCCCCACCAACCUUUAUUGAAUUUUGUUUUUUUGUGUGUUUUUCCCGGUAAAGUUGUGGUCUGGUUGGUAGUUACCUUAGUUCGCUAGCGACUAGUUUCCUGGAAGAUGGUUUUCUCUUCCUUUCCCCUCUAGUCACUCCUUUGCCCUGUGGCAGUGUUCCGUGUCAGAGUUCUCCCCACAGGGUAUCAGCCUUGCUUUAUCCAUUAAUGACACUUGCCGAGUUAGCUUCCGGAAAUGUCCCCCUCGUCUUAGAAACUAAUUUCAGCAGUACCCUUAAGGGGUAGGUUCGAGGAGAAUAUUAUGUUUAAGCGUUAAUGUGUUUAAAUUGAGUGUGGUUGAUGUACACUAAUAUAGUAGUAUGUAAGAGUAUAUUAACGUGAAUUGUUAAAUUGGAUUGUUGUAUUUGUACUGAGUGAAAUUGUGCGGCUUGAAGGGGUAGAAAUUUCCUAAGGUACUAGUGAGUAGUUGACUAUUAUUUAGUGAAAUUGUCUGAAAUAACAUACUUGAAGGUUAAUAAAUAACUUGACCCAACAGUAUGUAAGUUUGUAUAGUUAUCAAUAAGUAGUGUACCAGUUCAAAUUGUUUUGAUGUGUGAUAUCAUUAUGAUACACUGUACCUCGGAGCUAGAAGAAAUGUGGGGCAAGAGUUUAACAUUUAUAUGCUGUGCCUACUAUAUUAAACAGGAUUGUUGUAUUGUGUAUUUGUAGUCACUGAAUGUGUGCGGCGCCACCCCCACCCCCCUUGAGGUUGUGCAAGUAGAGGGGGAGUAGAAAUACCCUAAACUACUGUAUUCCUUUGAGAUACGUUUAUUGAGAGAAUAAUAAAUACAAUUGAAUUGAA
rnacentral:lncRNA from 1 species